CGCAACGGGGAUCAAACAUCACAACAGAUGAAACAUGUUCUAAUAAUCAUCAGACUUCAGGAAUCACUUCACCCAAAAUUACUCGCCAUCAAGUUGUUGCAAACUUGAAUAAAUGUAUUUGUUUGGUUAGACACAAAGAAAGAUAUUGACUACCAUAGUAAAAAGUGCCCCAGAACCCAAGUUUGCUUUCAUAAAUUCCUCAAGAUAUCUUCUUUUGUGUUUGACACAACACAAAAAUGAUGCAAUCAUUUCCCCUCCUGGUAUUCAAUGAUAGUGAGAGGGCGAGUGAUAAAUGACAGAAUUUUCAGUAUUGGGUGAAGUGUCCCUUUAAUACAUUUGUGGUGUCAGAUUUUGUAUCCUACUGGACGUAAAGAAAUGUUUGUUCAUGGUUCAUAACACACUGAAACACACUCUGAACUAUACUUUUGUUUAUUUUCAUACCAUCACAGCAGGUAAAACUUGUCAUAUGUUUAGUGUUAUUGUGUUCUUUUGAGCUCAUACGCGACCUGGAUAGUAAAAAUAGAUUUGAAUAAAUCUUCUUUCUGCUUUAAGCCCUCCAUGCAUGUCUGAUGAGACUGAGUGUGCUGGCAGUAUCUACAGUGCGUUCUGGAGGAUGGGUAGAUUAUCAUUAUGCCGCUCAUCAAUCCGCUGUCAGGUUUGGGCGGCGCGAGUUGACGCUCCUUGGACCACUUCUGGAUCACAGAGGCCACAUACGGCUCGUCUAGAUUCAGAAGACGGAAGGUCGUCAUGUUGACCCCACUGUAACGCAGGGGGCGAGAGUCACCUCCUCCCGUAGGCAGCUGGCGAAUGCGGAUCUUCAGGCUGUUUUUCGCAGGAGCUUUGAUCAGUUCCUGCAUGCGCAUUAAUCCUUUAAACGACAAACACAAAAGAGUGAUCCAAGGUG